rnacentral:rRNA from 1 species
AUGGCCGCGGACGGGCGGACGCUUGAGCUGCACAAGUGUGCGGUCAUCCAGCUCGAGCCAACGCGGCCGGUGUAUGCCAUGGAGGUCGCCAUGGGGAGGCUGCUGCUCGGAGAGGCUGGCGGCGUGCGCGUGUUCCCACUGAGGAGUUUGAUGAAGGGUGGGAGGGAGAAGGAGGGGAGAAGGGAGGGUGCCGCGGCAUCAGCAAAGAAGAGCUUGCACAAGAAGAACGGGAUUCUGAAUGGACUGAUUGUGCCGGUUGGGCGUGGUAGUGGCGCCCGAGGUGGUCAAGGAGAUGCUGCUUCCGACUGUAAGCUUACAACCUUGCGGGUAAAACAGAGUUCAGGGAGCUAUUCCUCUUUCUUUUUGGCAUUUAAUCAAGAGGAUCAUAACUCUCAAGGUGGUGUAAAAUUGAUAAAAUCAGUUAAAGCUGUCUCAAUCCAACCUUCUUCCAAGGACAAGUUUCUGGUACUUGAUUCAGCUGGAGUGAUACAUGCCUUCAGUCUUCGAAAUGCUGAGUUGGAACCGGAAGCUGCCAAAACAUGUUUUUUGGAUUGUGCCAUGAAAGUCCAAUUGUUUGCUGUUUCCCCAAGUAGCUCUACGAAGACACAGAUUCUUUGGGUUUCAGAUGGUGGACAUUCCAUACAAAUAUUGUCAGCAUUGCCGGCAUUUGAUGUCAAGUCUCCUAAAAGUGACGAUGAUGAUAGUGAUGGGGAAAGAGAGUUAGCAAGCAUUAAGCUCUCAGCUACUGAAGCCAUCUUCACUAGUGAAAAGGUUCAAGACAUUGUACCUAUCUCCAAGGAUUCCGUGCUUAUCCUUGGCCAAGGCAACAUGUUUUUAUAUGGAACUGCUUGA